rnacentral:rRNA from 1 species
GAUCCGAUUAGAGUUUGAUCCUGGCUCAGAACGAACGCUGGCGGCGUGCCUAACACAUGCAAGUCGAACGAGAAAGGGGCUUCGGCCCUGAGUAAAGUGGCGCACGGGUGAGUAACACGUAGGUAACCUGCCUUUGAGACCGGGAUAACAUGUCGAAAGACGUGCUAAUACCGGAUAAGACCACGGUUUCUUCGGGGACAGGGGUCAAAGAUAGCCUCUAUUUAUACGCUAUCGCUUGGAGAUGGGCCUGCGCACCAUUAGCUAGUUGGUAGGGUAACGGCCUACCAAGGCAAAGAUGGUUAGCUGGUCUGAGAGGAUGAUCAGCCACACUGGAACUGAGACACGGUCCAGACUCCUACGGGAGGCAGCAGAUCU